rnacentral:rRNA from 1 species
GAACGCUGGCGGCGUGCCUAACACAUGCAAGUCGAACGAGUCCACCCUUCGGGGUGAGGCGAGUGGCGGACGGGUGAGUAACACGUGAGCGACCUAUCCUCAUAUGGGGGACAACCCGGGGAAACCCGGGCUAAUACCGCAUGGUCGGGACUCCUGCAUGGGAGACCUGGGAAAGACGGCCUCUUAACAAUGCUGUCGUGUGAGGCGGGGCUCGCGGGCUAUCAGCUAGUUGGUAGGGUAAAGGCCUACCAAGGCAACGACGGCUAGGGGGUCUGAGAGGACGACCCCCCACAUUGGAACUGAGACACGGUCCAGACUCCUACGGGAGGCAGCAGUGGGGAAUUUUGGGCAAUGGCCGAAAGGCUGACCCAGCGACGCCGCGUGCGGGAGGACGCCCUUCGGGGUGUAAACCGCUGUCAGGGGGGAAGAAACCUCCAGGUCGGAAUAUGGCCUGGACUUGACGGUACCCCCAAAGGAAGCACCGGCUAACUCUGUGCCAGCAGCCGCGGUAAUACAGAGGGUGCAAGCGUUGUUCGGAAUUACUGGGCGUAAAGCGCGCGCAGGCGGGACUGCAAGUCGGGAGUGAAAGACCGGGGCUCAACUCCGGGGCGGCUUCCGAAACUGUAGACCUGGGGACCGGUAGAGGCAGGUGGAAUUCCCGGUGUAGCGGUGGAAUGCGUAGAUAUCGGGAAGAACACCGGUGGCGAAAGCGGCCUGCUGGGCCGGGUCCGACGCUGAGCGCGAAAGCGUGGGGAGCAAACAGAUAGAUACCCUGGUAGUCACGCUGUAACGAUGGGCACUAGUGCCGGGGGGAGCGACC